rnacentral:rRNA from 1 species
GACGAACCGAGCGAACGUUGUUCGGAAUCACUGGGCUUAAAGGGCGCGUAGGCGGGUGCUCAAGUCUGUGGUGAAAUCCUCCGGCUCAACCGGAGAACUGCCAUGGAUACUGGGUGCCUCGAGGGUGGUAGGGGUAUGCGGAACUAUCGGUGGAGCGGUGAAAUGCGUUGAUAUCGAUAGGAACUCCGGUGGCGAAGGCGGCAUACUGGACCACUUCUGACGCUGAGGCACGAAAGCGUGGGGAGCAAACAGG